rnacentral:rRNA from 1 species
GAUGGCGACCGGCGCACGGGUGAGUAACGCGUAUCCAACCUUCCCGUAUAGUAGAGGAUAGCCCGGCGAAAGUCGGAUUAAUACUCUAUGUUUUCCAAUGCAGACAUCUAAGUUGGAACAAAGGUUUACCGCUAUAGGGAUGGGGAUGCGUCUGAUUAGAUAGUAGGCGGGGUAACGGCCCACCUAGUCGACCGAUCAGUAGGGGGUUCUGAGAGGAAGGUCCCCCCACAUUGGAACUGAGACACGGUCCAAACUCCUACGGGAGGCAGCAGUGAGGAAUAUUGGUCAAUGGGCGAGAGCCUGAACCAGCCAAAGUAGCGUGCAGGAAGACGGCCCUAUGGGUUGUAAACUGCUUUUAUCGGGGGAUAAAGUGAGGGACGUGUCCCUUAUUGUAGGUACCCGAUGAAUAAGGACCGGCUAAUUCCGUGCCAGCCGCUGC